GAGUUUGAUCCUGGCUCAGGAUAAACGCUGGCGGCGCACAUAAGACAUGCAAGUCGAACGAAGAUCGUUAUUAAAUGGAAUGAAGAUUUAUCGGUGUGAAGUUUAGUAACAAUGGUCUUAGUGGCGGACUGGUGAGUAACGCGUAAGGAACCUGCCUUUUAGAGGGGAAUAACAAUGAGAAAUCAUUGCUAAUACCGCAUAUGCCAUAGUUAUCACAUGAUAAUAGUGGGAAAGGAGCAAUUCGCUAAAAGAUGGCCUUGCGUCUGAUUAGAUAGUUGGUAAGGUAACGGCUUACCAAGUCGACGAUCAGUAGCCGGACUGAGAGGUUGAACGGCCACAUUGGGACUGAGAUACGGCCCAGACUCCUACGGGAGGCAGCAGUCGGGAAUAUUGCGCAAUGGAGGAAACUCUGACGCAGUGACGCCGCGUAAAGGGGAAGUUUUUCGGAAUGUAAACUAUUGUCGUUAGGGAAGAGAAA
rnacentral:rRNA from 1 species